GGUACCAUUACUAAAUCAUCAUUUUGAUUGGUAUAAAAAUUUAUUCUUAUGCUACCGACUUAAGUUCGGACCUAUGAGAUCACACAUAUUAGAGUUCAUGAUCCGAUCAGAUGGUUGAUCAACGAUUAAGAAUCGUUCUAGGGUUAAAUGAUCAAUACGAUUGACAUUUAACCUAGUGCAAGUGUUGUAGGAGGAUCGAUUAGCAAUUUGAUUGCUAAUUGGCUUAAUUUGAUUAAGCCAAUGGGCUGAGAUUAAGUCUAAUUGAAUAUGAUUUAAUUAGAUUUAGUUUGGGCUUGAUUGGAUCAAGUCCAAUUGAUUUAUUGGAUAAACCAAGUGCA
rnacentral:lncRNA from 1 species